UGCUGCUAUACCUUUUCUCUUGUAUCCACCAAUUAGAACACUGUAUUUUAAAUUAUCCAAUCGAUGGACGUGGCCAUUCUGGUGCCACCCGCGUCACAUGGCCCGACAUGCUCCUAUUCAGGCUUCCAACAUACUCCAAUACGUCGAUUCCGAUGACGCCAACCUAUUAGAGUGCGUUGGAGUGAGUAGGAGCAUGCAUGUCAGUGCAUGGCGACGCGAACAUACCAUUGGACUCCGCGAGAUACCUCACCGAGACGCGUGCUCUCAUUGGUCGUCACGUGUGCUCGUGCAAUCGGAUCGACUUUUACCACAAGAUUCGAUUUUUUUUCUGUCCCGCUACCACUGUGACCAUGUUGUUGACGACGUUUUGGCGCACGGUACAUUGAUCGAAUUUCAUAACCGCGGUCACAAUUAGUUGAUCGUCCUCUAUCGAGCCGAACUUCUAGAUGUCACGGUCCUCGUCUCGCAAAUCAUUCUAUCUAUUAUUUGCCUGGCGGCAGCGCUGUCAACGGUACGGCGAAAGCGAGCGACAGACGAGAACGCGAGCGAGUGCAGCGCCGCCGCCAUCAGCGCGACCGCCAUCGCAACGAGGUCCCCGCUGUUCUGUUCAUCACAACUUAUCUACGAAGAGAUGCGCGUAGAUUUAAGAUUGAUCAGUCCGAGUUCCUGUGCGACAAGCAUGGAGGUAUUAUCGCCAUCGAGUCAGUAAUUUGAGCAAGGAAGCGAGGGAGUGAGUUGGUUUGGCACGCGUCGCCCGCCGUCGCGCGAAAGCAAGCCCAUCGUAUUACUCCACGCUCACGUCGGGUCAGCUGCUGCUGUUCCUGCACUACCGUGCUGCCUAUCUUACGCUAGAUUGUUGGUGUGUGUACACAUUAAUCGCCGCCGCCACCACCGUAACCGUAAUUGCAAUCGUGAUACUUCUAUCAGGGUGCGCCGUGCGGGUUUGUGUACGAUGGAGCUACGUGUUGGUAACAAGUACCGGUUAGGACGAAAAAUCGGGAGCGGCUCCUUUGGCGACAUUUAUCUAGGUACUAAUAUUUCUACCGGUGAGGAAGUCGCUAUCAAGUUGGAAUGUAUAAAAACACGACAUCCACAGCUGCAUAUAGAGUCAAAGUUUUACAAAAUGAUGCAAGGAGGUGUUGGAAUACCAACUAUAAAAUGGUGUGGUUCCGAAGGUGAUUAUAAUGUAAUGGUGAUGGAGUUACUUGGACCAUCUUUAGAAGACUUAUUUAAUUUUUGUUCAAGACGUUUUUCUCUGAAAACAGUCCUGCUUCUUGCCGAUCAGUUGAUAAGUAGAACAGAUUACAUUCACAGUCGCAACUUCAUUCAUCGUGAUAUUAAACCGGACAACUUUUUGAUGGGUCUAGGAAAGAAGGGAAAUCUCGUUUACAUUAUAGAUUUCGGAUUGGCUAAAAAAUAUCGCGAUGGACGCACACACAAGCACAUACCUUAUCGAGAAAACAAGAAUUUGACGGGAACUGCCAGAUACGCAAGUAUAAAUACGCAUUUGGGAAUUGAGCAGUCGCGACGGGACGAUCUUGAAUCUCUAGGCUACGUCCUCAUGUACUUUAACAGAGGUAGUUUACCUUGGCAGGGAUUAAAAGCAGCAACUAAGAGACAAAAGUAUGAACGCAUUUCCGAAAAGAAAAUGUCUACUCCUGUAGAAGAACUUUGCAAGGGUUAUCCUGUGGAGUUUGCAUCGUAUUUAAGGUAUUGUCGAGACUUACGCUUCGAAGAAAGGCCAGAUUAUUCGCAUCUCCGACAACUUUUUCGGACACUGUUCCAUGGUCAGGGUUUUACCUAUGACUACGUCUUCGAUUGGAAUAUGUUAAAAUUUGGUAACGCGAGACAACCGACGUUACCCUCCGCACAGCAAGCACCUAUGCACUCGCAACCGUCUAAUGCGGCGCUGCCUUCUGGGACCAACAAUGAUCAGGAACAUCGAUCAAGACCUUACACGCGGCAAUGUUUGCCGAACGCGUCUGUGGCGACGGUAGGCCCAACGCUUGGACCGAAUGCUAGUCUGCGAGCGAUCCGGCAGAAACGCGAGAUGGAGACUCGUGGCGACCAGGACAAUCAGGACAAGAAUGAUCUUCAAGCAUCGGGUGCAGGUGGACAAGAGCGAAGGGUCAGCAUGCGAUUGCAUCGUAGAGAUACGCUACUAGCUGCUGCAGGAGACAUGCAGCCCAAGUCCAAGUGAGUUACUACACAAUAUAGAAUAAAUUCGCUAAACAACUGGGUAUAACUUGCUCUGCUAAACUUCGCGGACGUUUACGAAGAAUACCUCUCAUCAAAAUUCACGAUUUAUCGGUAACCGAAAGCUAUCGCACUAAUUCUAAAUGACAAAAGUAGACAAAGAGGGAACGAAAUUUUCUCCUGUGCCACGGUAGAGAACGCCGAUCAUGAAAAACUCUGAUCAUGGAAAACUUUCAUCGUGCGAGCCUUCUCUCCGAGUUCAUUUUUCCUCAUAAGCUUGUUGAUAUCAUCGACCUAUUCACGUUAUUAAGAAUCUUACGUGAACGAAAGAACUUGAUGGUAUUAUUAUAUUUAACAGCAAAAGAAGAACACAAGUGAUUCUUACAUCUUUAUUCGAUAAUAACGACUGUAUUUUUGAAAACGUUAAGUGUCUUCAAAAGAGAAGAGGAAUAAUAAUAUUUUAAUCUAAUUUGUUUCUUUAGAGAGACUUGCUAUUAGCAUUUACAUUCUCGCCAAAACUCUAUUGUACUUUAGUGUGAAGAAUAAUCAAUUUUAUUAAGUUUUUCUAUUGAAUUAUUGUCUCGCCCUAGCGUCAGUCAAUUAAUCGAUCUCACAUGAAAUUAUAGACAAAGAGAACCAAGUAAGAGUGAAACUGAGGAGGCUAGAUGUAACAGACGAGAGAAGGAGCGCCGAAAAACAAAAAAAGAGCGAAAGAGAGAGCGCGCGCGCAAGAGAGAGAGAAAGAGAGAGUGAAAAAGAGGACAAACUUUAGCUCAUUUAUGUAAUGAAGACCGUGGCACGAUAAUGUCGCUGUUUUGUGUCUUUUGUUUUGGAAGCGCCAAUGCGACGGCAAUCGCUCCACCCACCCUGAUGAUCAGACGGGCAAGCGUGCAACACAAGAAUCAGCAGCAAUAGCGGAUUUAUCGUCUUCGUAACAACUAGCAAUGUCGUUCGUCAAAAAUGACGACUGCCGUCGAUUACCGCCGCCGUCUGCACGGCGCUUUCUCACACAUUACCGCGAGCCAGAAAUGAAUUUACGUGCUAUCACGCGCUACCUUCCGACCAAUGGUAAUUGACUUUUCCGUUAUCACGACGUCACAAAGAUUGUCAGCGAUAUGACACGUGAUGUGUGCGUUGUGCGUGCGUGCGUGCGCGCGCCGAUGGUAGUGCCUGUCCGUGAAGUGGUGAUGGAAACAACUGAUGGUCGCAACUGUUUCAUGCCUAGUGAACAAAAGGAUAAGGAGAAAAAUUGUCGAUUGUUCUUCAUACGUCAAAAAUGGAAACACCGUGACUGCGUUGCGGUGACAAAGUAUAAUGAUGUAGGUAUCGGCAAUGCUUAUUGCAUCUUCAAACGUAAUGAAGCAGCCUCUUAUUGCGGUGCGCAGGAUUCUCAGGAGACUCGGCAAUCGCGCGAGUCGAUUUUACUGGAAUUUCUCUCUUGCAAUCGGAACAAGUCCUGAAUUGAUGAACAGCUUCUCAACAGUAACGUUGAGGAGGGUAACGACGCUUAAACAUCGCCGAAUCCCUAGCGUUCUUUAUACACCGGAUGAUGAAUCAACCGUGAUAGGUUUUUUUUCUUCCGUAGCGAAUCAUAAAUGUACAGUACGCGGAUUCGAUGAUGGAUUCUCGCAGUUGUUCACGAAAAAAAUGCAUAACAGCACAAGCGUGUACACUUUGAGAGAAGUAUACAUUUCGUCGCCUCUGAAUAAAAGGGCGUUAACUCGGAAGCCGAUUGAAAAGGGCAUUAACUCGGAAACCGAUUGGAAAAGAUGUUAACUGGGAAGUCGGUUGAAAAAGGCAUUAAUUCGCCUGAUAAAAUUGUUCGCUUUAUUUUAAGUUGGCAGCACUGCCGAAAUAAUUUUCGUGCUCGAUUUAAAACAUAAACAUAAACAUUGAAACGAAAAUGAAGAUGCACAUAUAGGUAGAGCAUUAAAACUAUUUCGGCAGUGUCAAAACUUAAAUUGAAACGAAAAAUUUGAACGCGCGAGUUAACGCCUUUUCAACUGUUUUCCAGUUAACGCCUUUCUUAAUCAACUUCCGAGUUAACGCUCUUUUCAAACAGCUUCUUAGUUAACACUUUUUUAUUCGGAUGCGACGAUUUGCAGUUUUUACAACACGUGAUAAGUUACAAGUCGAGCCAGCUUUGCUUCCUCUGAAUUCAAGCCGCAUAAAAUGCCAUUCACAAAUAUAAUAAACGAUAAAUACUUUAGUACAAGUAAAGCAAACGAUAUUUCUCAAGGUUUGAUAGCGUGUUUAUAAUUUGUAAAUUGUUUUUGAAAAGCAGCGGCUUUCGUCAAAUAGUAAUAAAGUGAAAUACGAAGGGCGCGUCGUAACGGAAGACAGCGAUGAUAUAUCAAAGAUCGUAGUAUUUCGUAUACGUCAUUUACAUACAUUAUACAUAUAUAUAUAAAUUUUUCUUGACUAGUAUGUAUGUAUAUAUAUUUUAUAUAUAAUUUGUAAAUUUACGUAUGUGUCCUGUGAGUUCUAAAAACUUAAAUUUGUUUAAUGUUACAUAAGUCGAUCUCUCGAUGACUUAUGUAAUUAUUUGUUAAUAAAACUUGAUUUGGCGAGAUUAGCAUUCGAUUUUCACGAAACAGUCACAAGAGCUAAUAUGACGUUUCGUGAUUCCGUGCUAUUAUAUUACCGUAUACUGCUCUACCGAGCUGAAUACGUUUGUAUAAAUGUAGAAUAUUUUUUUGUAUAAAUCGCAACAUGUGUACAUAAACCGGAUGCAUCGAUAAUCGAGAAACUGACGUGUGUAAAGCUAUCACGAAUUUUUGCACAAAAUAAAAAGAUGCUUUCAAUAGAUACAAAUGAGAUGAUAUAACCCCCGUGUUAGUAUCAAAAGGAUCAAGUGCGAUCGGAAAAAAAGUCAAUAAGUGCAGCCGCAGUUUAGUGUAUUAGACAUCGCUGAAAUACAGUACAGCUCGUGUCUUUAACUCGGGGUGUCGUUACUCCAGUGUAAUAAUCGUGGAUAAAAAUAGGUGUCGAGGAAUAUCCACGUCCAAAAGAAUAACAAAAAAAGUCGCAAAGCAUUAACGUUGAAACGUUUACGAAUUAUUUUCCGAGAGAAUUUGAUCGAGAGGAAACGGUGCUCCUUUUUGGUCUCGCUGAAGCAAUCUCGCGUCGAUUUAUGACACGACGGUAGGAUAGAUUAUGAUCAUUUCAUAAAAAAAAAAAA